AGUAACACGUGGGUAACCUGCCCAUAAGACUGGGAUAACUCCGGGAAACCGGGGCUAAUACCGGAUAAYAUUUUGAACYGCAUGGUUCGAAAUUGAAAGGCGGCUUCGGCUGUCACUUAUGGAUGGACCCGCGUCGCAUUAGCUAGUUGGUGAGGUAACGGCUCACCAAGGCAACGAUGCGUAGCCGACCUGAGAGGGUGAUCGGCCACACUGGGACUGAGACACGGCCCAGACUCCUACGGGAGGCAGCAGUAGGGAAUCUUCCGCAAUGGACGAAAGUCUGACG
rnacentral:rRNA from 1 species